rnacentral:lncRNA from 1 species
ACAAUGCUGAUGUCCAAACAUAGUGCAGAACUGACUCCAAGACCUCACUGGUUCCAGUAUUCAGGAGACAUGUUUUCACCCAUUGCCCACUGCCGCAGACUAUCCCCUUUUUGGGUCUCCUAUCUGCGCGGAACAGGCCUCUAGUUGUAGGUGGACUAGAAGUUAGCGAAUGAAUGACGAACAGAAUCAGCACGAGAGACUGUGUAGAAUAUGAAUGCAAUUUGACAAAUCGAGCAUCAGACUUUUUAUACAGAAGAAAAUAUGGAAGUCAGGAGGUGACACAUCGCCAAGACAAAAGUCUACUCAGCUUUAAUCAGAGAACCUUCUCAUUGUAAUGAAAUCCAGGAAAUGAAAAGACUGCACAAGAUCCUGAGAAUAAAUGACAUGUAUGAAGUUUCUUAGAAGAUCAGUGUUGAAGAUGACCAAAGGCUCCAAGCAACCAAAGUCCUAGUUCUCUGUUCUUCAGUCAAUUUAAAUGAAUAAGCCCAAUAAUUUCCAU